GAUUUUUUUUUUCUCCUGAAGCAACUCUAUAAUUUCCAGAUGGCAGAAACAUCAGUAUUUUCAUGAGGAAGCAACAUGGCUGCCCAUAAUGGAACAUCACCAUCUCAGAAAAAUCAAAAUUUCAGGAAGGAGUUUUUAUAACCGAGUACUACUUAUUCCAAUUGGCACACAAGACAUGUCUAAAUCACCAAGUUUGAGGGAAGCAAAAUGAUUAUCAAGUGGAAGACAUGUGGCUUCUUCAGGAUGUUCCAGACCUUGAACUCCACUGCUAGAGCUUUUAAGAACACAAGUCAUGAUAUAGCAUUAGAAAAUUAUGCUGGUGGAAAGCUACAUAUAUACUAAGUACUUAA
rnacentral:lncRNA from 1 species